GGCGCCUGCUCUUGGACCCCGCCUGUCGGGCUGAGCGCACCGCCUGAAGGUCUACCGUGCGGAGUUUGCUCGCCUCAACUCUUGGACCUCACCGUCUGGGUUGGCCGGGCAGGCUGCACGCUAGAGCACACCGCACACUUAUUUCUUCGCGGUGCGAGCCACACACUUAUUUCUUC
rnacentral:misc_RNA from 1 species